GCGAAUUAGUAAACUUACCGUAGUCGUCCGCAACGAUAAAAAGAAUAUUGGGUGGUUUAACACUCAGGGAAGUAGCAGAGGUUGAAAAUAAGGAUACCCCGAGGAAAAAUAAUAGACCUGCUCCAGACAUGUUGCGAAAUUAACAACAACAGCAACUCCACAAGCCAGAAAUUAACCGCAACUCCACAAGACAGAAAUUAACAGCAACAGCAACUCCACAAGACAGAAAUUAACAGCAACAGCAACUCCACAAGCCAGAAAUUAACCGCAACUCCACAAGCCAGAAACUAACAGCAACAGCAACUCCACAAGCCAGAAACUAACAACAACAGCAACUCCACAAGCCAGAAAUUGGCAGCAACAGCAACAUUGGCAGAAACAGCAACUCCACAAGCCUGAAAUUAACAACAACAGCAACUCCACAAGACAGAAACGUCAUUGCAUAUGUACUUUAUAUGAAUAGUUAUGAGCUGGUGAUUGCAUAAGACGGAUUCUUAUUUGAAUGAUAUAGACGUAUACUAAUAAUUUCGAAUUUCUUGAAAAGCGAUACUAGUAAUGCAGAAUUCAGUUCAAUUCAAUUUAGUUAUAUUUUGUAUUCAAGGGAAUAUAACUAAAUCGCAAAAUGUUA